AAAGUCGUAACAAGGUUUCCGUAGGUGAACCUGCGGAAGGAUCAUUACCUUUCUGGCUAUUUAAUAGCUUGUCUGGGGGCUGCAGUUUCUGCAGUCUCUGAUACCAUCGUUUGUUUUGCUGAUACAUACAUUCGUUUCCUGCGGGCUGGCUUGCCUGUCGGUGACAAACUAAAGCUCUUUGCAAUUGCAAUCAGCGUCUGGAUUAUAUAAUAAUUACAA
rnacentral:misc_RNA from 1 species